UAAUACAUGCAAGUCGAACGCGUCUCCGUUAAUGAUUUUAGGUGCUUGCACUUGAAAGAUUUAACAUUGAGACGAGUGGCGAACUGGUGAGUAACACGUGGGUAACCUGCCCUUGAAGUAGGGGAUAACACUUGGAAACAGGUGCUAAUACCGUAUAACAACCAAAACCACCUGGUUUUGGUUUAAAAGACGGCUUCGGCUGUCACUUUAGGAUGGACCCGCGGCGUAUUAGCUUGUUGGUAAGGUAACGGCCUACCAAGGCGAUGAUACGUAGCCGACCUGAGAGGGUAAUCGGCCACAUUGGGACUGAGACACGGCCCAAACUCCUACGGGAGGCAGCAGUAGGGAAUCUUCCACAAUGGACGAAAGUCUGAUGGAGCAACGCCGCGUGAGUGAUGAAGGGUUUCGGCUCGUAAAACUCUGUUGUUGGAGAAGAACAGGUGUCAGAGUAACUGUUGACAUCUUGACGGUAUCCAACCAGAAAGCCACGGCUAACUACGUGCCAGCAGCCGCGGUAAUACGUAGGUGGCAAGCGUUGUCCGGAUUUAUUGGGCGUAAAGCGAGCGCAGGCGGUUUUUUAGGUCUGAUGUGAAAGCCUUCGGCUUAACCGGAGAAGUGCAUCGGAAACCGGGAGACUUGAGUGCAGAAGAGGACAGUGGAACUCCAUGUGUAGCGGUGAAAUGCGUAGAUAUAUGGAAGAACACCAGUGGCGAAGGCGGCUGUCUGGUCUGUAACUGACGCUGAGGCUCGAAAG
rnacentral:rRNA from 1 species